GACGAACGCUGGCGGCGUGCCUAAUACAUGCAAGUAGAACGCGGAAGGAGGAGCUUGCUUCUCCGGAUGAGUUGCGAACGGGUGAGUAACGCGUAGGUAACCUGCCUGGUAGCGGGGGAUAACUAUUGGAAACGAUAGCUAAUACCGCAUAAGAGUGGAUGUCGCAUGACAUUUGCUUAAAAGGUGCAACUGCACCACUACCAGAUGGUCCUGCGUUGUAUUAGCUAGUUGGUGAGGUAACGGCUCACCAAGGCAACGAUACAUAGCCGACCUGAGAGGGUGAUCGGCCACACUGGGACUGAGACACGGCCCAGACUCCUACGGGAGGCAGCAGUAGGGAAACUUCGGCAAUGGACGGAAGUCUGAACGAGCAACGCCGCGUGAGUGAAGAAGGUUUUCGGAUCGUAAAGCUCCGUUGUAAGAGAAGAACGAGUGUGAGAGUGGAAAGUUCACACUGUGACGGUAUCUUACCAGAAAGGGACGGCUAACUACGUG
rnacentral:rRNA from 1 species